GACAACUGACCCAGUGCGGAAGAGCCUUAAAAGCUAAGGAGCUCUCUCCUUCAGGACCAAGGAUGGCUUCAGUUCCAGGGAUGCUACAGUUUAUAAGCAGCUAAAUACUAGCUUUGCUCUAGGGGAAUCCAGCGGCCACGUCCCAUGUCAUGAAGAUACUCAGGCUUCUCACAUGAGGAGGAACUGAAGUCUCUGGCCAACAUCCACGUAGACACUGAGGACUGCCAAAAAUCAUGUGAGCAAGUGUGGAAGCAGAUUUUCCCCAGUCCAGCUUUCAGAUGACUGCAGUCCCAGCUAACAGCUUGACUGCGAUCUCAUGAGAGAAUCCAGCUAAGAUGCACCCAGAUGCUUUCCCCAAAGAAAUGUACGCGGGCCUCUCACUAUUGUGGCCUCUCCCGUAGCAGAGCACAGGCUCCGGACGUGCAGGCUCAGCGGCCAUGGCUCACGGGCCCAGCCGCUCUGCGGCAUGUGGGAUCUUCCCGGACUGGGGCACGAACCCAAGUCCCCUGCAUCGGCAGGUGGACUCUCAACCACUGCGCCACCAGGGAAGCCCUGUAACUUCGAUUUUUAACUUCUAUAAUCUAAAUAACAAUUAUUACUUGCAAAGUCAUUGUCUUGAAAACUAUUUUCACGAGAAAUCAUAACUCAUUUCAUUAAAAUAAAGACAGAAAAUUCAUCCUCAAAGAAAACUCAUUUGUCUUCUAAGAACAGCAUUUCAGAGAUUCAAAGAAAUUAGAAGUGGAAAAAUCAAUUAGAGAUAAUCUACCAGCUUGUCAGAAAGAAUUGCUUUCUACAAAAUAUAUUCUAUUUCUUUGUCUAGGUUAAUUUUUAAAUGUCUCAAGGGAUGGAGCACUUGUUAUAUCCCUCUGAAGUCUUUCCUUUUAUAUAACUGACCUUCCCAAGAAUCUUGUUUUUUUUCUAUUGUCUAAACUCCAUGUUAUUUAUUAAUUCUGUGCUAUUGCUUUUAAUUAUACUUUUUUCCUGUAGUAAU